rnacentral:lncRNA from 1 species
UUUCAAAUUUCAAACCUCCAUUCCAUUCUCUCUCUUUCUCUCUCUUCCUAUCAGAUCUGGCGACCGUAAAUCUCGGAUCUGGAGCGUGCGAUGAUGAACCACCGAUCGGUCCGAGGAAUCCGGUGGCUAGGAUUUCGUUUUAGGUGUCCGUAAGGCGGCAACGUGAGAAGGAGGUCGCUGCUAUGACUCAUGCAGUGGCAGGGGAUGAUGGUGAUUAUCGAUCUAUUCUGUGGAAAGAUGAAGUAACCAGGACCACACGUGUUGAGGAAUUUUGUUUCAUCACAUAUACUACUUACACAAAAUCAGAGAUUUCUUGAGUCUUGCAAGAGAAACCCUUUUUUUAAACGGCGUAGAGAAACCCUAAAACACAAAAUUGGUCGGAUCAUGAAAGAUUUUCGACCUGAAAUCGCUGUUAGGGGCCACAAUCAAACGCACAAGAGGUUGAGAGUUGUUCAGUGGAUGAUCCAGAUCUCCGUUUCACAUAUUUUUGAGUUUUUUUUUCUCAAACACAGUGGUGGUGAUAACCCCCACGAUGGAAGAUGUCGGAGAUGGCGGUUGUGGGUGGAAACCUAGACGGCUGCGGAGGGUGCCGGUAUUUGCUUUCAGCAAUUCUUCUGUGGAGUUUGGGUAGCUUUUUGAAUUAACAGUUUUUAUGUGGAGGCAUUGACUUUUUUGGUAAUUUUAUUCCUGCAGUUAGAAGAACAUCACAUGUGUAAUGUGUAAGUGAAAUGAGCUGAAUCGAACAAUGAG